rnacentral:rRNA from 1 species
AGCAGCCGCGGUAAUUCCAGCUCCAAUAGCGUAUAUUAAAGUUGUUGCAGUUAAAAAGCUCGUAGUUGAAUUUCGGGGUUAGUAGGUUGGUCAUGCCUCUGGUAUGUACUGGUCUCACUGAUUCCUCCUUCCUGAUGAACCGUAAUGCCAUUAAUUUGGUGUUGCAGGGAAUCUGGACUGUUACUUUGAAAAAAUUAGAGUGUUUAAAGCAGGCUAACGCCUGAAUACAUUAGCAUGGAAUAAUGAAAUAGGACGUUCGAUCCUAUUUUGUUGGUUUCUAGGAUUGACGUAAUGAUUAAUAGGGAUAGUUGGGGGCAUUAGUAUUCAAUUGUCAGAGGUGAAAUUCUUGGAUUUAUUGAAGACUAACUACUGCGAAAGCAUUUGCCAAGGAUGUUUUCAUUAAUCAAGAACGAAAGUUAGGGGAUCGAAGACGAUCAGAUACCGUCGUAGUCUUAACCAUAAACUAUGCCGACUAGGGAUCGGAUGAUGUUAAUUUUUAAUGACUCAUUCGGCGUCCG